rnacentral:lncRNA from 1 species
UUCAGGGACAAAAUUUGGUGUACUUUAACUUUUCACUCCAAGAGGCAAAUCUUUAAUAGUACAAUUAGUUUGGAUGUUUUUAUCUAUUUUUCCUCCCCAUGACCUGUUCUAAUGAACAUGAUAUUAUUGGUAGAAAUUCCUGUGAAUCAUCUCCACGUCCUUUUCCAUAUAUAAAUUAUAUUCUCCAGGAAGCCAGCUCCUACACCAACUGACCAACCAGCCUGAUAGUCUCAACAUAGAUUUUAAAACUGGUUUUCAAUCCUGUUCAUUCACUCCUGUUCUGGUGGAGUUGUAGUCCUUUACAAGUACUUAAUUAGUUUUAAUAUAAUAUUAGAUAAAUUAUCAUUAUAGUUCAUUAUAUCUACUCAUGCUUUUACCUGCUAUAAAACAAAGCAUAAUAAAGUAUACACAUGAUGCAUAAAAAUAGAAUACAAAUAUACAUUUCCAUGCAUCAAUCUCCACGUUGACAGGCAAGAUUUCUUUAGGAGUAUUGCUGAGAGACUAGGAUAUUAAGAAUAUAAUUAUAUUUAGUGUAAUUUUUACUGCCUUAAUACAAUUAAUGACAUACUAAAUGUAAGCGUUCUGAAGGGCUUUCAAAAUAUAUUUUAAUGGCCUAAGUCUUACAGGUUAUUGAAUAACUCAGUAAAUUUCUGAUUGCUUGAGACCUCAAAAGUGAUGGUUAUAUUUGACACAGGAUGCAUACAUACAUUUUCUGUUUUUUCUCUCAUCAUAAGUCAGUUUCAGUAGAUGUUCCUUUAGAAAUUGGAACAUUUUGAGUUUCCUGAAGAGCCUUGAGAAAUGUAUUCUCAAAAUUAAUGAACCUAGAUAAACAAAGUUAAAAUAUUUACCACAUUUUGUUUGGGCAUACAUUCAUUUCAUAUUCCCAUUAAUAUAUAAUUGCUACAUAAUUAAUAGUCUCAUGAACAACAAAAGGGUGAAAUACUUAUUAUAAUGAAAUACCUCUGUAACCUCUGUAAAUUUAGUCAUUUACCAUUCUUAUAUCUUCUGAAGUACUUUGCUUAGAGAUACUGUAUCCUUGGUAGCUGAUUUGUAUGUGCAGGGGGAACUGGGCUGGAUAUAAUCAUUAUUUAACAAAUGCCAUCUGACUUUAUGUUUGGGGACUAUCAAAUCUCUCCAAUUGGAAAUGUUCAUGGCUGUCCUUUAGCUAAAUCCAGCUGCUUGUUUUGAGUCCAGAACAUUAAGAAAAGGAAAAAUGCAGCUGCCAACCGAGCACCACCAAACCAUUAUAAUAGUCUGCUAGAAGAGGGCUGACCAGGUCUAUGGCAAAAUGAGACAACCAUCUGAGUUGGAAUGCUGAACUGUUGCAACUCCAAGACACCUGGAUUUUUUUAACCUCAUAUUGGAUACAAUCUAAGGAAUAUGUUUAUAUUUGGUUCAUGUAUAAUUUAUAAGUUUUCAUGACUGAAAUUGGAAAUGUAUUAGUAACUUCCUACUAGCUUUAUAAAUUGGUACUGGGCUGUCACCAUUACUCAGAUUUUUAAAAAUGUAACUUUACUCACUAGCCUUGAAGCUCCUUAAGGGCAAGGGCAACUUGUCUAUUAUUCAUCUUUGUGCCACACACCUAGAACCUAGUGGAUAUUCAAUAAAUGUCCAGUGAGCUGAACUGACCUUGGCUGAGGAAAAGUACACAAAAAUGACUAGACUGUAGGUUGCCUGACACAAAAGUAAUUAUCAAACUAAAAGUGAACUGAAGCCACAUUACACAUGAGAAAACAGGCUCUCCCCAUAUUCCUACUCUCAGGAAUGUGGGUAAACUGUUUUCUUUAUGCACAGUGCAUCAAGAGGUUGAUAUACCUGCUAGUUCAACCUCUUUGAAUCGGUUCACUAGGCUCCCACCUGUGGAAUCACACCCCCGAUUAACUCCAUGACCUGAGGCCUCAGACCCGGGGAAAGUAGGAAAGGUACAUAUUUAGCCCACAUCACCAAGGCAACAAAGUCAAUGUACCUGAACAGAGUAGAAAAACAAGCACAGAUGAUGUUGAAUAUUUUAAAAGUGUUCCCGACACCCACUGUAACCGUGGUCUGAAACAGGGAUCAAUUAUUUCUGAAACCUCACAAUUAAAACUUCUCUAAUAUGUGUGUGUGCUUUGUUUUUCAUCACUAACACUCCAUAGGCAAUUUUAGUCAAUUAACAUUAUCUUAGUACCAAGAAUAAAGAUUCAAA